GACGAAAUAACAAAAUACUUGCAUUAUGUUAUUGGGACCUCGGCUUACAGCUUUGGGGGUUAAUGUUUUCCCUCUCGCUUAUCCAGCACCCAGUGCCACACAGUGACCCUUUCCAGAAGAUUCCACGUAUGUACUCAAUCACAGACACCAGGGAAAGUGCAAUUCGGAAGAAAUAAAAACUGCAUGGUUUUGCUAGCAUUUUCGAACAGUGGAUAGGAUGCAGCAUAGGAAGCAGUAGCUCUCCUGUUGUUGGACCUAGUUCCAUAAAUGUGGGAACUGGAAAAGGUGUACGGGUUCACAUGAUUGCUUGCUGGCUGUGGUCACAGUUUUCCUUCUUGGAUAUCUGGGACUGUGAUGGAUUCGUUUUCUCAGCAACCUGUUCUGAACUGUGGUGAAGUUGGAUUUAUAUUCGAUAUUCGCUUCUUCCAGAUUGUGACAGUAGUUCUUUUCAGAUUGAUGAUUGUAAAGUAAAAUGAGAGGAAUAUUUUACACUUUUAAUUAGCUCCACACUCUCGAGCAAUAUGAAUUAAAGUUACAAAGCAAGACGCAAAUAUCUAUCUGCUCACAGAAAACGGCCGGAACACUUAGGGACCGUCUUGAAACUGCCCUGCCGCUCAGCAGAACCCCACUUGUAUGUGUCCUAUAACCGUCUGUCAAUAUUGCAGUUGGAUAAAUUGUAAUAACUCCAUUUUUAAGCCAAUCACUAUCAAACCAAGUUUAAUGUUUUCCUCAGGUCCUGUCUAAUCUUUCACACCCUUUUUUCCUCAUAAAAAAUGAAGGGAAGCCAUUUAUGGUUAUUUAAUAUGGCUGUUGCUAAAUAAGAUCUUCAGAUUGUAACGCACAAGGGCAGCGUCAAUGACCGGACUGCGGAGAAGCUGGAGUGAUCCACACAAGAGCUGAAAUGACAGGUCACUGCCGGGUAAGUAGACAGUCAUCUCUGGCAUUAGAAUGUUGCUCCUGCCGUCUACCUGGCAGCCUUUUGGUUAUCGCCAGUGACCUGCUUCACCUUGAUCUUCUGCACUGCUGUCUUUGAAUCUUGGAGCCUGGAAGCAGCUGCCACCAAGUGUCACUUUCUGCCAGCAGAACCAGGAGUAAAGUUGGAUUUAAAAAUGCAGAUCUUUAAAAAAGGGUCACGCGUUUACAAUCCUCCUCUGGAGUUCCGCCCCGAUGCGCGCGCACACACAGGUGGUUUGCUGGCGGUCACAGUUCGUUGGUGGCAGGGCUGCAUUGGUAUGUUGGAGACUGGCUUGAUCACACCAUCUAAAGAGCAAUAACAAGGAGUUGGGAUUUGGGCGGUUCCUUCUGCCUUUCCUGCACCUUGCUUUGCCUGGUUGCCCCCUCACCUUGGGCCCUGAAGUCACCACCUGCUCUGGACUCCUCUUUCUCCUUCUGCUGGGCCUGGUGCUGCAUGCGAAGGCUGGUUCUCCGCUCCAGGAUCAUCUGACACAUAGAAGCAGAGAGCUGGACGUCAUCAUCCACCGGCAAGACCACAUCGUAGUCCAGACCUGGCUCCUUGGCUGGGUUGUGGAACCUGCAGGGGUACAGAGAAAGAACAGGAGGAAAGGACCCAUGAGGAUCUCUCAGGACCACUGAGAAGACACCUGCGCUCCACAACAGCACACGAAGCUAGCAGGUCUGUCUCUGCGUGGGGACAGGAAGAGGACAGCCGUCACAAGACAGCAGGACCUGACUGCUGUAACAGAUAGGUGGCAAUUACACAUCACCACACCAUCCUGCUACCUGGAGCUGUUAGUAACAAGUAACUUAGUAACUCAUUUACUACUCAAGUACAAAUCAUGAACAAAUAUAUUUACCGUGUGAAAUACAUGAACCGUUAUGAUUCAUUAAUGAUGACCGAACAUGGGAUCAGUACGUAACUAACACUUAGUUUCUGGUUAAUUGAUACAUUAAGUAAGAGCAUACUACUACACCAUUUGUGCUUACUGAACAAACAACGUAUGAAUUUCAUUGCAGGUGGUGCAACUGAGAAAUAUGGAAGAUGCAUCAUUUAGAUGAACGAUGCAGUUAAAGAGUUGGCAUAGUGUCCUCCUGGCUGGGUGGGGUUAGGGGCAAACAAUCACCUCUCAGCAGCUCAGUGACAACUGGUGCAGGUAAAACAGGAAAAUGCCUGAAUGCACCAUCUCUUUGGACCCAAAGGUCUGUAUAGUGCGGCUGUAAUGGCCCACAGUAAAUGACAUUAUGAAUUCAAGGGAAUUCCUGUUAUGCGACCAUGUGACACGAUAUUUGAUUCCAUUGACCUUAUAUCCUGCUAGCCACUACAAGGCUCUUCAGAACCUCAACAUCUAACGCUCAGUCUGUAGAGACAUUCAGCUGGUCUUUGACAUGUUUGAGAAGAGAGAGAAACGCUGCCAGCUUUCACUGCAUCAUGCUGCAGUGUUGGCCGACCCACAGAGGGUAAACUGCAGGCCAUAAGCGUGGACUCAGCUGCCAAGACGGCUCACACCCUUCGGAAACUGCCGGACCUCCGACUCUCAGUAUCUAUGUGGAAGCGUCUUUUCAGCUCAGUCAUGCCUACUGCUGAUUAAUCCCCAAAACCCACUCAACCCCCAAGCAUGACACUGCAAGUAUUACAAAAGCUGGGAUGCAAGAGAUCACCCACUACUAACCAGUCAGGGAAGAACUUGUUGGCCUUAAUCAAAACACAACCAACUUGUCUGGAUUACAUGGGUAUAUCUCAAGCUACGUGGAACUUGAUGAAAAUGACAGCUACACAUAAGAUGUAAAACACACUCAACAAACCAAGGAGUCAUAUUUGCACUUAAUGUACAUGAUCAAACAAAAAUCGAACAUACAAUAUCCCUACGCACCUCCAAUUCAAAUUCAAAUUGCCACCGACAAGGCACACUAGCUCAGAGAACCUCUCACUGCACCAAGCAUCACCAACCAUCCAUAAUAAGCAUCCUCACCCAUGUAUUCAAACACCAGGUAGAUGUCUUUGUCAUUCUGGGCUCUUAUUACAUUAAGCAGCUUGACGAUGUUGGAAUGAUCUCCAAACUCCUGAGAACAAGCAACAGCAGGUUAAUUUCACCAACAGUCCAGGGGAAACCAUCCAACACAACACUACAUCUACAGUAUAUGUGUAAAGCAAGGGUAUUAAUUCAAAUCCUUCUCGUUGUGUAUAGGGAUAUAACUUCUUACCUGCAGGAACAAGAUUUCACGAAACGUCCUCUGUAGAUUGAAUUAAUAAAAACAAUUAGACAAAGCAAUAAUUUCUGCUGCAAAAAUCUAAGGAUUUGAACAACAUGUUUCUUUCAUCCUUUUCUUGUAGCACCACAAUCCGCAAAGGAUCAGAAUAUUCAGCUGGAAGAUCACAGUGCUGACACCAUUUCCCAGACCCAUAAUUCCCUGUUUGUGGUGUCACACCUAAAAGAAUUCUUGCCAACCCACCCCACUGAUUUGUGUGUUUACAUUCGCGUCACAUAAUGCCGCCAUAUCCCUUACCUGAGCAUCAGUCCUGUUCCGAAAAGCAUCAAAUAUCUUUUUCACAGCCACAACUUCUCCAGUUUUGCGGUCGAUGGCCUUCCACACAAUC